GAGGGUGUAGCUCACGGGCAGAGCAUCCGGCUUUUACCCGGACGGCGAGAGUUCGAGCCUCUCCGCCCUCACCA
rnacentral:tRNA from 1 species